rnacentral:sRNA from 1 species
GGAAGCUAAACACAUCAUAAAUACCAAAUAGAAAAGUCGAAUCGAAAGAGGACGCUAUAAACUAAGAACAGAGGAAAUAAGGCAUAAAUCAUAAGGGAUGCAAUAAACUAAAGAAAGCAAAGAAACCUCUUCCUCUAAAGCACCUGUGAAUGAGAUUUAAGAAGGAUGCAUGCGGUCAAUCCAAAAAUAACAUCUACCACCACCUAUUGCCAGAACCUUGAUAUUCAUCACAAUCAGUGAAAACUGCUUCGAGUUUUGCGGAUGCUGCAAUGGGAAGAAUUGCACAGAGUACAAAGGUUCUGACAAAAGGAGGAUAUGAGAAAAUUUUCAGACAAACCUUUGAAACUAUUCUAGAGGAGCAGCUGCAGAAUUCAUUUGCGUGCUACUUAUCAACAUCAGCUGGUCCAGUCAUGGGAGUUCUUUACGUAUCCACUACUAAACUUGCUUACUCAAGCGAUAACCCUCUCUCGUACAAAAAUUCUGGUCAAACUGAAUGGAGCUAUUAUAAGCUAAUCUUCUUUAUUUGAGACAAUCGAACUUUUUGCUAUAAAUAACUAUUGUAGAAAGCGACCUCAUAGAUGGUAGGAAUAGUGUGAAGAACGUUAGAUUCUGUGACUAAUUUCUUGUGCAGACUAUAAUAACACUGGGUAGUAAUACUUAUAUCUUCAUCAUCUUAAACAUGUAGUAAUCCCAUUACAUCAGCUUAAAUCGGUUAACCCUUCUACAAACACAGUCAAUCCUGCAGAAAGGUACAUCCAGAUAAUCUCAGUCGACGACCAUGAGUUUUGGUUCAUGUGUUUCUUAAACUACUGUGUGAUAUAAUAUUGGUGGAUUCUUGAUUAGAAUAACAUUAUUUUGGUUGCAAACUAAAUUAUUUGAUUCUUAUUCUUAAUUAGUUACCAUGUCUUGAUUAGGGUUUAGGGUUUAGGGUUUAGGGUUUAGGGUUUAGGG